GCUUCAUACAUGAGAAAUAUUUCUUUUGAUCAGAGUAGUUUGCAAGUGCGUGGGUCAAAUUUAAGCAUCGAGUUUUUAACGAGUGGCUCCUGUGUGUGAAGUGCUACAUGAGCUAGCUCUGGGGUAGACAGGCAGAACAGGGCACCAAACAUUAAAAUGGGCACGGGAAAGAUGUUUAAUGAUGGUUCAAGGUGGACACUAGGAGGAGCAUGAGAAAGCAGCACACGAGUUUGAGAAGCCCUACCUGCCACAGGUCCUCUGUCUUCCCCACAAGACUGCAAGCAUCAAGAGGGCAGAAAAAUGAAACAUCUGCUAAGCUUCAUUGCCUCUGAGAGAAAGAGACAGAGAAACAAACAGGGACACGGUAUGUCUAAAGUUUUCUCUUUGCUCCUGAACGGAAGGUAAAGACCGUGUGUUUCAAGGAUGGAAGUCCUGAAUACCUGCAGGCUACAUUGUUCAAGGGGAGGGAUGAAGGCUGAGAGCUACAGAGGUUAAAGAUUGCCUUCUGCCUAGUUAGUGGUUCCCCAGGGCUGAAGAGAAAUAUGGGUUGGAGCCCUUAUGGAGCUCUGGUCCCGUCUGAGCCUGGUGCUCUGGGUCACCUCAGAGUGGGCCUGCUGCAUGACCGACUAUGGGACUGAUGAGGCUCUGCCAAGGUCCUCAAACCCAGUUUGAGGUGGGCAAACUGAGAACUCGUCUC
rnacentral:lncRNA from 1 species